UGGUAUGUACUGGUCUCACUGAUUCCUCCUUCCUGAUGAGCCGUAAUGCCAUUAACUUGGUGUUGCGGGGAAUUUGGACUGUUACUUUGAAAAAAUUAGAGUGUUUAAAGCAAGCUAACGCUUGAAUACAUUAGCAUGGAAUAAUGAAAUAGGACGUUCGAUCCUAUUUUGUUGGUUUCUAGGAUUGACGUAAUGAUUAAUAGGGAUAGUUGGGGGCAUUAGUAUUCAAUUGUCAGAGGUGAAAUUCUUGGAUUUAUUGAAGACUAACUACUGCGAACGCAUUUGCCAAGGAUGUUUUCAUUAAUCAAGAACGAAAGUUAGGGGAUCGAAGACGAUCAGAUACCGUCGUAGUCUUAACCAUAAACUAUGCCGACUAGGGAUCGGAUGAUGUUAAUUUUUUAAUGACUCAUUCGGCGCCUUACG
rnacentral:rRNA from 1 species